ACAACAAUAACAACAACAAACAGCCCCGAGGAAAACGAUCAUAUCAGGCAUAUGACUAGCGUCAGACACUGGAGAGCGGAUUCUGGUUCCUGACAAUUCGUGCUGCCGCCCAUCUCGACAGCUGAACGAAUGAAGCUGUUUUGAACGGCGGACACACGCAGUAACUACUAUCAAAUGUCAGAAUCAGGCAGCAUUUGAAACAAUAUUCCAUAGGUUAGAAGAGGUUAACUUGGCGGCGGGUGUUUCGACUGCCAAUACGGCAUACAUAAGAGCACGUAACUCACAGUUUGUUGGUUUAGUGAGGUAAUUCCCGGUAGCUGAAUAAAUUGCGACAGUUCUAAAAUGUUAUUAAAACUACCCCACUUGUCCCUAGUUUUACCCAAUGCAACUAAGGGUAUCUCCAAUUGAUGGAACGCACUGUGGUAAAAACAAAACUAUAAUGUGAAAUCGGUUUUGUUGUGCUUAUAGGAUUCUUGCGCAUUACAAAAAAACAUUGAUCUGCGAUAGCUAAUGGGAAAUUAAUGUUUGUGAUCCUGCUCCUCCAAUUAACUGUGUACUCAUUUACCUACAAGGAGGUCUUCUACUUCGCCAAGAGAGGUCAACCUUUAUAAUAAUUUUCACUAUAUAGAGAUCUUCGUUAAUUUUUUUUCUUUUCCUUCUGCGUAUAACCUGGACAGUGCGCGCGCUCUUCAUUUUGUUUUUGUCUGAUUCUCUCUGUCUUCGCUUCCGUCUCUAGAACUGCCGCCAACAAGCGCUAGGCACACAAAUAAACCGACCGACAGACAGGCAAAAAAAAUACAGACCAAGCGUUGCUAUCCGGGGGUUUUGAUAGAGCGGUAUAAGGAGGGAAAGGGGCGUUAGUGACGGUUAGUGUAUUCUCGUUCAUCGAGCAGCAGCAGACGACGACGACGACCCGCACGCUCCUUCGAGUGGCGUUCUCUUUUCUCAUCUCGUUUGCUCGUAGCUCUCAGCUGCUUGCUUUUAGUGCCACAGCCUCUGCUUCCCGUAGGGCCAUCCGCUUGAGGGAGUCACUCGUAUUUUGCCCCCAUCACAGAGCUUCUUUUCCAUUUUUCUGUGCCUUUAAAUGAUUACCUACUGUUCGUAACGGCAGCAUGAAUCACUAGACGAAGAAAUAUCACAGGCAUUGCGACGGAAUCAGCGCCUCGGCAUUUAAUUGGUACAGAAGGAGAGCGACACGAUCUUGAUGAUAUCAUCCUACGUUGCCUUUGCUUGGCUGUUAGUUAUCUGGCAGGCAUCUGAUUAAUUGACCUACUAAUGGAGUACAGCUGAGCGUCAGUCUUGUGCAAGUGUUAAACAUCAUCAGAUCGUACAUUUUCAUAGCUUCUGUGUACGUGUAACGUGAGCUUUUUGUGUCCUGCUUUAGCCACUUCACCUUGUCGGUCCUUUAGUCGUCUAAAAAUUAGAUCAGUAAAAUUCUCUUGGAUAAUGCUGCUGCAGUUUGAAUCUGCCAGCUGAUCUUAUUGUACAUCUGAAAUGCGUUGUGCAGAACAGGAAACUCUGUGGAUGUAAUUAAUUUGUGUGGCACUAAAUGUGUGGGUUGAUGAAUAAGGAAAAAGGAAAUAUAGAACGAUCGUGUUAGGUGUCUGUGUUUCUGCUAAUUUGCGGAAUCGAGUGGACAGACAGAGGAAAAUAGAUUUCUGUCUACUACUUAUCUUCAUUUUUAGCAUUAAUGUAAUUAUCGUGUUUUCUCAUACACAAUAUAUCCUGAUGUUUUACUAAUAACAAAGGCCAAACAAAAAAACAGUCGUCGAUAGGCGUGGCUGGAAAGAAAAACACAGAGGACGCAGAAAAGCACCCUAGAAAGCCUCAGACAACAGGCAGAUCGUAUGAGAGGCUCAGAGGAUACACCGCCAGCUGACAGGUCAGGCCUACACGACAGGUCAGUGGACUACACGGUGACUGACAACCGCCCGAAUAGUAGCUUUUGAACACUCUGUACUAGCUACUCGAAGAAAAGCCAGUCUCUCGUUUAGCUGAUCCACGGCUGGUCAAAUUACUAAGUUACCUGUAAACAGGUUGUUGUAGCAGCUCGGCAGACUCAAUAUAAUAGACCGCAUGCCAGUGUGUUAAUGUUUUAACCGUAUUCACUAAUUGGCAACAAGGGGCUUAGUCCCACAUUCGGUAGAUAUCUGGAAAGAUAAUUGUUUAAACAGAAGUCUGUCUUCCAUGUUCCCGGCUGCUUCUUCUGUAUAGAAGCUGAUUAAUACGAUAGGAUCCGUCUAUGUGUGCCUGUUUUGAGGAAGAGUGUAUUUAGUGGUAAUUUUUUGUGUUGGAAUGGCGAACUGGUUCUGUGCAUGCGCCUGCCUGUGUUUCCUGCAUUGUUUGUGUAAGUGUAUAUUUAUUUAAUCAGUAAUAACCUAAUCAGUCAUCUGUCAGCACCAAGAGUAGUAACCUUCAACCUAAAGCUUCGAGUGCUGAUUCCUGCAAUGUAAUAAUUUAAGUGAUUAAGUGACUGAACGAUCCGGUUCGCGUUCAUAGCUUGUUGAUGAGUGUCAUAUAUAUAUAUAUAUAUAUAUAUAUAGUCUGAGUCAGUGCACAAACAUUCGUCCGGUUCCUUUGCUUUUGAUCGUAGUCAACUAUUUUCAGUGUCGUAGAAUCUUAUUUGCUUGGGUGCUAUACCAUUUAAAAUUCAUUCAGCGAUCAGCAUUACAUAUGUAUACUUGUAUGGCAGUCUAUCGAUAACAAGCGAUAAAAUCAAUAUCAUAUUCUAAUAAUGCUUCCCGUCAAGAAGUACUUAAUAAAACAUGUGCGUCAAUAAAGUAACUUAAUGAGUCUGCAGUCAUUUUGAUCUAUAUUUUUUUCUUGUUUCUUCCACCGUUUUUUAUUAUUAAUAAUCAGUGAUCAUUAUUAGCUACCGUUGUUAAUCAUGCGAUUAGUUACAGUCUAUUACUCUUGACUCGUACGAUGUUUGUUCUUAUUGUGUUUUGCCUGACCCAAAGGUCGAACAUUGUCGUCAAUGAGUCAGGUUCUGUCAGGCAGCGCUGGAAACCGAGUCUUUAGAAGUAAUUACCAACAACAGCCGUUACUGAAGUGACAACCACAACAGUCAGUGCAACGUAGUUGUGGAUAGGCUACUAACCACUGCGAUGACAAAAACCUUGAAGUUUUUGUUUCGUAGCGUGGUUGGUCUCCCUUUUUCCUUCCACCUCGAUGUGGAUGUCGUCGCCGUACGAUGGUCGUUCAUCUGUCCAUCAUGAUCCCGUUAUUAUUCCGUUCCUCCUUCAAUGAUACUUGUACCAUUGUUAUAAGUCGCCGUAUAUAAUAAUAAUAACAGCGACAACGAUAAUAGCAAGUGGGGCAAUGAUGAUAAUCUUUGCUUUGGGGCUGGAAGGCUGGGACUUACCGUAAACCUGCUACGUUUGUGCAUAUAGUAGUUCUUGUCGUAGAGAGCCAGCAACUGCAGGAGCUGUCGCUGCCGCCGCCGCUGUCGCCGCCGCUGUCGCCGCCGCUGCCGCCGCCGCUGCCGCCGCCGCUGCUUAAAGGAUGACUGAAACAGUGAGAUAAAAACCUUGACGCCGCCGUUAUUGCAGACGUCGGUGGUGUUGCUGCUGCUGUUCGUUUAUAUGCGAAGAUGACCUGACCGGCUCCCCCAGCACAGGUCGUAGUAACAGCAGUAGCGCUAACCGACGGGAGGAUCGCUAUGAUUGUUGGACGUCCGACUGACUGAAUAUUGCCACUAGACUGUGCGGUUCGACGCGGAACGCGUUGCAAUAGACGGCAAUGUUAUUUAUAAUAGCAUUUUAUAAUAAUUUCUAUAAUAAUACAACAAUUAUACAUGAUAUAAAUAGCGUACAGUUUUGGACUCUUA